GAAGUGGCUUUGAGUUUCCUCGAAAUAGCCUCCUCUGUAACAUGGUUAAGGGAACUUAAGGAUGUACCUGUCUGUGACUCUUAUCCUACUGAACUGUACGUUCCCAAAUCGGCCACGGCACACAUCAUAGUGGGGAGUUCCAAAUUCCGGAGUAGACGGCGAUUUCCUGUCCUUUCUUACUAUUAUAAAGAUAACCACGGCUUUUCCUAAAGGGAAGUAUUAUUACCAAAGGUGGAUUUCUGUGCUUAAUGGAAGACACUGAAAUACCAGAGUAGUUAUCUGUGCUGUCAUUGCUCAUCGAUGGCCGUAUAGAAAACAGGCAGUCUCCCACAAAAAGUAAACAGGCCUCCAUCUGCCGGAGCAGCCAGCCCCUGUCCGGCUUCAGUGCCCGGUGCCUAGAGGACGAGCAGAUGCUCCAGGCCAUUAGGAAAGCCAAUCCAGGAAGUGACUUCGUUUAUGUCGUUGACACCCGGCCUAAACUUAAUGCAAUGGCAAAUCGUGCUGCAGGGAAAGGCUAUGAGAAUGAAGACAAUUAUUCCAAUAUCAAGUUUCAGUUUAUCGG
rnacentral:lncRNA from 1 species